rnacentral:rRNA from 1 species
CAGUGCCGCGGGAAUACGAAGGGUGCAAGCGUUAAUCGGAAUUACUGGGUGUAAAGCGCGCGUAGGUGGUUCAUUAAGUUGGAUGUGAAAGCCCUGGGCUCAACCUGGGAACUGCAUCCAAAACUGGUGAGCUAGAGUACGGUAGAGGGUAGUGGAAUUUCCUGUGUAGCGGUGAAAUGCGUAGAUAUAGGAAGGAACACCAGUGGCGAAGGCGACUACCUGGACUGAUACUGACACUGAGGUGCGAAAGCGUGGGGAGCAAACAGGAUUAGAUACCCGCGUAGUCCCUGUCUCUUAUACA